CUCUUCCCGGCAUGGGUUUCUGCCCAGCUCACCCGCUGUCAGCUGGGGUCCUGCUCUGGUGGGAGGAAGAGGCUCAGACGCUUCCCUGCCCUCUCGCCUCAACCACCUCGAGGCAGCGGCUCCCAGGAUGUGCACUUUGACGACUAAAGCUGAGCCGGCGCCGCCACGACCUUGGGCGGGUGGUCGGCCUCUGCCCUGAGCAGGAAGUAGAAAGUCUCAGCAGACCCUUCCUGAGGGCCGAGCAACAGUGUAGUGGCGUAUUCCACAUAGCAAACAGAUGUACACUAGAUUUUGAUGGCAUUUUUCCAGGGACCCUGGGAGCAUCUGUGUUCUCGUGUUCUUCUUGCCUGUGAGGCCUCUUCUCUCUGAGGACAGAUGGUAGGACAGAGAGAAGACAGCAAAUGGAAAACAAAGGCUGCUAUUUUUUUGUGGGGCAGCAUUUCUUCCUGUGACAAUAUGGUGUAAGACAAAAUUGUGGCCUGCCAUGAAGUUGUGAGAGAAAAGCAUCCCUCAUUUCUUCAGGAAAGGCCACUGCCGUUCCCUCCGGCUCCUCUUCUCAGGAGUUUGUGCAUUCAUGAGGUGAAUUCCUUGGAAGAUGAGGGCCAAGUCUUAUUCUUCUCAGUCUCUUCUGCAUCUAGCAGAAGAAUAAUGGUUGCACAGAAAAUCUUGGUUCAGUGGUUGAGUGAAUGAAUGGAUGAACAGGCUCUUGCACACAAAGAAGAGACAUGAUGUAUUUGCAUCCUUCCCUGCUUCAGCCAGGUCCCCAGACAGUCCCGGUGUGCACACUUCCCUGCUUCUGUUCAUGAUGUUCUCUGAACCUGGGAUCACCUUUCCCCUUCCUCUUACCUGCCCGAUCCUACUUGUCCUCCCAGAUUCAGUUUUCUGAAGCUCAGAGGGACACCUUGU
rnacentral:lncRNA from 1 species